GUAGGUGUAGCUCAGUUGGUAGAGCACCUGACUGUUAAUCAAGAAGUCGCAGGUUCGAAUCCUGCCAUCUGCG
rnacentral:tRNA from 2 species